UACGAAGGGUGCAAGCGUUACUCGGAAUUACUGGGCGUAAAGCGUGCGUAGGUGGUUCGUUAAGUCUGAUGUGAAAGCCCUGGGCUCAACCUGGGAAUGGCAUUGGAAACUGGCGAUCUAGAGUGCGGUAGAGGGUAGUGGAAUUCCCGGUGUAGCAGUGAAAUGCGUAGAGAUCGGGGAGGAACAUCUGUGGCGAAGGCGACUGCCUGGACCAGCACUGACACUGAGGCACGAAAGCGUGGGGAGCAAACAGGAUU
rnacentral:rRNA from 1 species